AGACCCGAAACCCGGUGAUCUAGCCAUGGGCAGGUUGAAGGUUGGGUAACACUAACUGGAGGACCGAACCGACUAAUGUUGAAAAAUUAGCGGAUGACCUGUGGCUGGGGGUGAAAGGCCAAUCAAACCGGGAGAUAGCUGGUUCUCCCCGAAAGCUAUUUAGGUAGCGCCUCGUGAAUUCAUCUCCGGGGGUAGAGCACUGUUUCGGCUAGGGGGCCAUCCCGGCUUACCAACCCGAUGCAAACUGCGAAUACCGGAGAAUGUUAUCACGGGAGACACACGGCGGGUGCUAACGUCCGUCGUGAAGAGGGAAACAACCCAGACCGCCAGCUAAGGUCCCAAAGUCAUGGUUAAGUGGGAAACGAUGUGGGAAGGCCCAGACAGCCAGGAUGUUGGCUUAGAAGCAGCCAUCAUUUAAAGAAAGCGUAAUAGCUCACUGGUCGAGUCGGCCUGCGCGGAAGAUGUAACGGGGCUAAACCAUGCACCGAAGCUGCGGCAGCGACGCUUAUGCGUUGUUGGGUAGGGGAGCGUUCUGUAAGCCUGUGAAGGUGGCCUGUGAGGGUUGCUGGAGGUAUCAGAAGUGCGAAUGCUGACAUAAGUAACGAUAAAGCGGGUGAAAAGCCCGCUCGCCGGAAGACCAAGGGUUCCUGUCCAACGUUAAUCGGGGCAGGGUGAGUCGACCCCUAAGGCGAGGCCGAAAGGCGUAGUCGAUGGGAAACAGGUUAAUAUUCCUGUACUUGGUGUUACUGCGAAGGGGGGACGG
rnacentral:rRNA from 1 species